rnacentral:rRNA from 1 species
AGAGUUUGAUCAUGGCUACAGAACGAACGCUGGCGGCAUGCCUAACACAUGCAAGUCGAACGAGACCUUCGGGUCUAGUGGCGCACGGGUGCGUAACGCGUGGGAAUCUGCCCUUUGCUUCGGAAUAACAGUUAGAAAUGACUGCUAAUACCGGAUGAUGUCUUCGGACCAAAGAUUUAUCGGCAAAGGAUGAGCCCGCGUAGGAUUAGGUAGUUGGUGGGGUAAAGGCCUACCAAGCCGACGAUCCUUAGCUGGUCUGAGAGGAUGAUCAGCCACACUGGGACUGAGACACGGCCCAGACUCCUACGGGAGGCAGCAGUGGGGAAUAUUGGACAAUGGGCGCAAGCCUGAUCCAGCAAUGCCGCGUGAGUGAUGAAGGCCUUCGGGUCGUAAAGCUCUUUUACCAGGGACGAUAAUGACAGUACCUGGAGAAUAAGCUCCGGCUAACUCCGUG